UCUAUCUAUCUAUAUAUCUAUCUAUCUAUCUAUAUAUCUAUCUAUACAAAGUGACUUAUGUGUGAAGCGCCAUACACUAGGGCUCUCCGAGUUCUUCCCACCAUUCCCUUCUUUCUCCAUCCUUUCGGAUCACAUUUCCUUAAGUCAAACCUCAAUCAAGUUAUAUUCCUAUCAUUUUAUUUAUUUAAAAGGGACAGUGUGAAUUAAUCAACAUGGCCAUUACAUCGGACAUAUAAAUGCACCAGAUUUAGUUAAAAAACUAAACCCUGGCAGGUUGAUGUUUGAGCAACAUAAACAACACUUUUUGUUCUUCAUUCUUGUUGGUAAGGGCUUUGAAACCAACCCCUUCCUGUCUAUCUCCAUCACUUCUGUCUCUCUUCCCCCCUCUUCCUCUCCCUCUCUUUCUCGUUCUCUCUCCCUCUCUAUCUCUCCCUCUGUCUCCCCCUUUUCUUUCUGCCUCUCCCACUCUCUCUCCCACUCUCUCAGUUUUUCCUCCUACUGGUCUUCGUCAUUGUGUCCCAUGUUGACCAGUCCUGUCUCCCAGUGCUGCAGCAGAGGUGUCUUCUGUCUGGCAGCCCUGGGACUCUGUGGGUUAGUGGGAGAGAGAGAGAGAGAGAGAGAUUAACAGAAGAUGAGCAAAGACCAGACUAAUGCAUUUCCUGCUUGAGUAUGUUGAAUCCAUUAUGUAGCGAUUAAAGGUAUAAAUCCAAUAUGCAUUUAAAGAAUACUUCAGGCUAAAAUACUUGUACAUCCUUACAUACCAUAUAUCGUCAAGCACAAGUUAUUUCCAUGGUUUAUUUUCUGGGUGAAUAGUGUAUAAUGUUGUAUAAUAUUCUGAUCACAUGCUAUCCUGCAAGCCUUUUUCCUGAUAGGCUCAAGAGGGAUUCUUUCCAACUUUACACACCUGCGCCCUGUUGCACACCUGUGCCGUCAGUAUAAAUGCCACUCUGUGAAGGCAUGCCAUAUCCUGUCUACUCAGACAUGAAGGUCAGCCAGGACAACCUCAAAUGAUAAACAUGACUUAUAAUAAACAUGCAAUUCAUAAUCAGUUAAAAUAUGAGAUAAUGGUUUCAAAGAUAAUUUAAUCAAGAUGAAUGCUUGAAAAAUAUUAACAUCUGGUUCAUAAAGCUUUAUAAACACGUAUACACAAUAAUGCAUUUC
ensembl:lncRNA